GAAUGAAGUGUCCUAUUUCUUUACCCGUACUGAUCUUUUUCUUGUGUAUCCUUGAGUUUCUGUCUCCCCAUAUGGCCCAGAGUGCACAACAGAAAAUCCGACAUUGACGAGGGGUGAAUUGGUCAAAAACCCAGGGCAUUCCCGAAAUAGGUGGUCGAUUGUUUCAGAUCGUUCUCCACAACGCGGACAGCUUGAGUUAUUUGCUAGCUUCCUACAUUGCAUAUUUACCUUCGUAGGCAAAUAGUUCCAUGAGAAUCUCCAUAUUGUAAUCUUGAUUUUUGUUGAUAAAUUUAGAAGCCAUAGUUUUUUGUAGAAUUUCCUGUAGAUGGUUUGUAAAGCGUAAGCUCUAGGAUUCUCAUCAAAAAUUUGUAAUAGUUUAUAGGCACUGCGAACCGAAAAGUCUCCCGAAGCUUCACCUCCCCAAACCAGAAAGUCAUUGUGUGGUACGCGUGUCAAAAGAAUCAAGAGGAUUUUCUCAGCAUCUUCUUCCGCAAAGAUCAGCGUUGGCUUACCACUUGGUUCCACUGCCGAACUUUUAAUCGAUAGUUGGAUAAGCUCUUCUGCCAAGAGGGAGACCUCGCCACUUUGUAACCCUUUGUUGCCAUCACUUUCCUCCAUCUCAAGCUACAGCAGAGGCUGAUUUCGCUAAGAUACUAAGCAAAGCACUCUUGGCUCCUAGGGUUAUAAAUAUCUUUUCAAUUACUUAUGAAAUUUGUCUUAUUUUUCCCUUUUCACUAAUAAAAUCUUCGCCGAAAUCA